rnacentral:rRNA from 1 species
UACAGAGGGGGCAAGCGUUGUUCGGAAUUACUGGGCGUAAAGGGCGCGUAGGCGGCCUGUUAAGUCGAACGUGAAAUCCCCGGGCUCAACCCCGGGAACUGCGUCCGAUACUGGCAGGCUUGAAUUCGGGAGAGGGAUGUGGAAUUCCAGGUGUAGCGGGUGAAAUGCGUAGAUAUCUGGAGGAACACCGGUGGCGAAGGGCGGCAUCCCUGGACCGGAUAUUGACGCUGAUGCGCGAAAGCCAGGG